rnacentral:misc_RNA from 1 species
UGGUACACGCGAAGCAGCACCGCAUCGAUCCUCCGGAAUCUCGGCGUCCACAAUGUGCACAGCACGCGCUUUCAAGGCGAGCGAGAUGCUCGAAAGGCAGAGCGACCAUCACCAUGCACGCCAGCCGACUGUACCUCUGCGCGUGCGCAUGCGUCUCUCUCUCCCUCUUGCUGUCUUCAUUCCGAAAGACGACAGCAGCCGCCAGCAACAGAAAAGAAGAAAUGAAAGACAACGACGAACGGAUCCGUGCGAAAACUCAGGCUGCGCAGAUGGAGCACGCAGGGACCUACUCCGUGUCGGGAUGUAUCAGGACCACGCUGUGUGACCCCCCUCCCUUCCCCACCCUCAUCGUUUCGCCUCUCUCCCGUUGUCGUCGCUUCACGACGGCGGCAAGAGCACGCAUUCAGCCGCACAUGCAUACAGUGACGACCGCGUCUUCGUGUGUGCGCGCGCGUUUUUUUCGCUGGGCGUUGGCAAUCAGCCCAGCUGUAGUGGUGCCAUUCGGCGAGUGCAGCCCUCCUCCCCCUUCCCCCUCCCCCCACCCACGACCACCGUCCGUCCGUCCAAGUAUCCUGCCGUCCCUCAGGCUUCUCUUGUGGCCACUGCUCGUCCUCCACUCAUCCCUCCCUUCCGCUGGACACACACACACACACAUAUAUAUAUAUAUAUACAUAUACAUAUAUACACGGCGUGCCUCACUCGCGCAUCAUCGCCGCCACCUGCACCUCUUCUCCGCAUACACACACACACCACCUGUAUCUUACUACACAAG